rnacentral:rRNA from 1 species
GGGGAGUACGGCCGCAAGGUUAAAACUCAAAUGAAUUGACGGGGGCCCGCACAAGCGGUGGAGCAUGUGGUUUAAUUCGAUGCAACGCGAAGAACCUUACCUGGCCUUGACAUCCACGGAAUUCGGCAGAGAUGCCUUAGUGCCUUCGGGAACCGUGAGACAGGUGCUGCAUGGCUGUCGUCAGCUCGUGUUGUGAAAUGUUGGGUUAAGUCCCGCAACGAGCGCAACCCUUAUCCUUUGUUGCCAGCGAUUCGGUCGGGAACUCAAAGGAGACUGCCGGUGAUAAACCGGAGGAAGGUGGGGAUGACGUCAAGUCAUCAUGGCCCUUACGGCCAGGGCUACACACGUGCUACAAUGGCGCAUACAAAGAGAAGCGAACUCGCGAGAGCAAGCGGACCUCAUAAAGUGCGUCGUAGUCCGGAUCGGAGUCUGCAACUCGACUCCGUGAAGUCGGAAUCGCUAGUAAUCGUAGAUCAGAAUGCUACGGUGAAUACGUUCCCGGGCCUUGU